rnacentral:rRNA from 1 species
CGCCGCGUGAGGGAUGACGGCCUUCGGGUUGUAAACCUCUUUUAGUAGGGAAGAAGCGAAAGUGACGGUACCUGCCUAAAAAGCACCGGCUAACUACGUGCCAGCAGCCGCGGUAAUACGUAGGGUGCAAGCGUUGUCCGGAAUUAUUGGGCGUAAAGAGCUCGUAGGCGGUUUGUCCCGUCUGCUGUGAAAUCCCGAGGCUCAACCUCGGGCUUGCAGUGGGUACGGCCAGACUAGAGUGCGGUAGGGGAGAUUGGAAUUCCUGGUGUAGCGGUGGAAUGCGCAGAUGUCAAGAGGAACACCGAUGGCGAAGGCAGAUCUCUGGGCCGUAACUGACGCUGAGGAGCGAAAGCCUGAGGAGCGAACAGGAUUAUAUACCCUGGUAUUCCAUGCCCUGGACGUUGGGCGCUAAAUGUAGGGACCUUUCCACGGCUUCUGUGUCGGAGCGGACGCAUUAAGCGCCCCGCCUGGGGAGUACGGCCGCACGGCUAAAACACAGAGGAAUUGACGAGGGGCCGCACGAGCGGCGGAGCAUGCGAAUUAGUUCGAUGCAACGCGGAGAACCUUACCAACGCUUGACGUACACCGGAUACGGCCACAGAUGGUCGCCCCCUUGU